UCGUGCUGUGAAGUGUCUGCUUAAUUGCGACAACGAACGAGAUCUCCGCCUCUAAACACGCGCUGGUCUCGCACAUAGGUAGGAGGGGCAAUGGGUUGCCCACGGGUUAUCCUUGCCUCCCCGAGAGUGCCAGCUCGCUUCUUAGAGGGACAGUGCAUACAGCCAGUGCGUGGAAGAAGGAGUCGAUAGCA
rnacentral:rRNA from 1 species